AAUAUGGUUAAUGAGAAGGCUUGUUUAAGUGCCCCAGCUGAUAAUGCAACAUCUUCACUCCAGCAGUGAUAGUCAAAAUGUCCAGGAAACUUCGAAGGAAGAUUUAGGGAGGCAUCCAGAGUUCAGACGGAGUAACCACAAUAUAAUCACAUCCUGGAGUACAAUCAUUAGGGUGCUGAUGAUCAGAAAAGUGGAUGAAGAAGGAAAUGCGGGAGAUUACUAGUAAGCUGUGUUUGAUUUAUGGUGAUUUUUGCAUUGAGACUCCCAGAAGCCACAGGGAAGUGUCCGGAUGUCCGGACAAGCCAACAUACAAUCUGAUAUUGUGCGACUACACAGCUAUAUGUAGCUAUAUAGCUACAUUCCGGAUUGAGCAGUAAGGAAAAUCCAGAAAAUCUGAUUUUAGUAAGAUUCCGGGCAGCGAUCAGUGGGCAGUAUAUUGAGCUUGAAGUUCAGUCCCAAACUAACUGGAAAACACUAUUUUAAUUCUGAAUCGAAAUUCUCUACAAGCAUUGACUUUUCAUCGUAUCCGGAAACAAAAGAAUAUCUUCAGUCUCUUUAGUAAAACCUUUUCAGUUUUGGAAAUAAAAAAACUGAAAACUUGCAGAUUUUGUUAGAUUUGUUAUAGUUUUGAAGCAGAAUACAAAAUAAUCCUGCGAAGGUCACCGGCUAGACGCUAGAGGAUCUUGCACAGCUCAUGGACGAACAAUAAGUAUAUUAUUGAUUAAAAUAUAUUAAAAACUGAAAACAUAAGAGUUUCGUAAACUCUUUGAUUUGUAAUGAAAUUAAGGAAUGUGGGAAUAAAUAAGCGCUAAAUAAA